GCCUAACUGACGAGUUCCAAAUUGGACGAAACACAUGUCUUGUAU
rnacentral:hammerhead_ribozyme from 1 species